AUGUACGGCCACAGCCGAGUGAUAAAAUCUGGAUCCCGUCUGAUCUCCGAGCGAUAACCACUCGAGCGCCCGAGUAGUAGCUGGUUCGGUGACGACCAGCGAACUCCGGGUGCUGUACAUU
rfam:Beauveria bassiana D1-5 contig00440, whole genome shotgun sequence.